rnacentral:rRNA from 1 species
UAGAGUUUGAUCAUGGCUCAGAUUGAACGCUGGCGGCAGGCCUAACACAUGCAAGUCGAGCGGUAGAGAGAAGCUUGCUUCUCUUGAGAGCGGCGGACGGGUGAGUAAUGCCUAGGAAUCUGCCUGGUAGUGGGGGAUAACGUUCGGAAACGGACGCUAAUACCGCAUACGUCCUACGGGAGAAAGCAGGGGACCUUCGGGCCUUGCGCUAUCAGAUGAGCCUAGGUCGGAUUAGCUAGUUGGUGGGGUAAUGGCUCACCAAGGCGACGAUCCGUAACUGGUCUGAGAGGAUGAUCAGUCACACUGGAACUGAGACACGGUCCAGACUCCUACGGGAGGCAGCAGUGGGGAAUAUUGGACAAUGGGCGAAAGCCUGAUCCAGCCAUGCCGCGUGUGUGAAGAAGGUCUUCGGAUUGUAAAGCACUUUAAGUUGGGAGGAAGGGUUGUAGAUUAAUACUCUGCAAUUUUGACGUUACCGACAGAAUAAGCACCGGCUAACUCUGUGCCAGCAGCCGCGGUAAUACAGAGGGUGCAAGCGUUAAUCGGAAUUACUGGGCGUAAAGCGCGCGUAGGUGGUUUGUUAAGUUGGAUGUGAAAUCCCCGGGCUCAACCUGGGAACUGCAUUCAAAACUGACUGACUAGAGUAUGGUAGAGGGUGGUGGAAUUUCCUGUGUAGCGGUGAAAUGCGUAGAUAUAGGAAGGAACACCAGUGGCGAAGGCGACCACCCGGACUAAUACUACACUAG